UUUCGGGGGUACUCGAGUGGCGAACGGGUGAGUAACACGUGGGUGAUCUGCCCUGCACUUUGGGAUAAGCCUGGGAAACUGGGUCUAAUACCGAAUACACCUUGCUGGCUGCAUGGCCUGGUGGGGGAAAGCUUUUGCGGUGUGGGAUGGGCCCGCGGCCUAUCAGCUUGUUGGUGGGGUGAUGGCCUACCAAGGCGACGACGGGUAGCCGGCCUGAGAGGGUGUCCGGCCACACUGGGACUGAGAUACGGCCCAGACUCCUACGGGAGGCAGCAGUGGGGAAUAUUGCACAAUGGGCGCAAGCCUGAUGCAGCGACGCCGCGUGAGGGAUGACGGCCUUCGGGUUGUAAACCUCUUUCAGUAUCGACGAAGCGCAAGUGACGGUAGGAACAGAAGAAGC
rnacentral:rRNA from 1 species